rnacentral:misc_RNA from 1 species
AAGAGUUGUUGGUAGCUUGCUACCUCCUCUCCACCCUAUGUUUACAUUACCUUUGUUGCUUUGGCAGGUCCGUCUCUGGACCACCGGCUUCGGCUGGUCAGCACCUGCCAGAGGACCAUAAACUCUGUUUAAUCAUGUCGUCUGAGUAUUAUAUAAUAGUUA